UACGUAGGUGGCAAGCGUUGUCCGGAUUUACUGGGCGUAAAGAGCGCGCAGGCGGUCGUUCAAGUCGCGUGUGAAAGCCCCUGGCUCAACUGGGGAGGGUCACGCGAUACUGAUCGACUCGAAGGCAGGAGAGGGUAGUGGAAUUCCUGGUGUAGCGGUGAAAUGCGCAGAUAUCAGGAGGAACACCAAUUGCGAAGGCAGCUCGCUGGGACGUAACUGACGCUGAGACGCGAAAGCGUGGGGAGCAAACAGG
rnacentral:rRNA from 1 species